rnacentral:rRNA from 1 species
UACGUAGGCAGCGAGCGUUGUUCGGAGUUACUGGGCGUAAAGGGUGUGUAGGCGGUUGUUUAAGUUUGGUGUGAAAUCUCCCGGCUCAACUGGGAGGGUGCGCCGAAUACUGAAUGACUCGAGUGUGGGAGAGGUGAGUGGAAUUCCUGGUGUAGCGGUGAAAUGCGUAGAUAUCAGGAGGAACACCUGUGGCGAAAGCGGCUCACUGGACCACAACUGACGCUGAUGCACGAAAGCUAGGGGAGCAAACAGG